AUUGAACGCUGGCGGCAGGCCUAACACAUGCAAGUCGAGCGAGCGGCGGACGGGGGAGUGAUGUCUGGGAAACUGUCCGUUGGAGGGGGGUAACAACUGGAAAAGGUAGCUCAUAUCGCAUAUGAUCACAUGUGUCCAGAUGGGAUGAGCUAGUAGGUGGGGUAACGGCUCACCAAGGCGACGAUCCCUAGCUGGUCUGAGAGGAUGACCAGCCACACUGGAACUGAGACACGGUCCAGACUCCUACGGGAGGCAGCAGUGGGGAAUAGUGCACAAUGGGCGCAAGCCUGAUGCAGCCAUGCCGCGUGUGUGAAGAAGGCCUUCGGGUUGUAAAGCACUUUCAGCGGGGAGGCGUUACCCGCAGAAGAAGCACCGGCUAACUCCGUGCCAGCAGCCGCGGUAAUAC
rnacentral:rRNA from 1 species